AACGAACGCUGGCGGCAUGCCUAACACAUGCAAGUCGAACGAGACCUUCGGGUCUAGUGGCGCACGGGUGCGUAACGCGUGGGAACCUUCCCUUAGGUUCGGAAUAACUCCCCGAAAGGGGUGCUAAUACCGGAUAAUGUCUUCGGACCAAAGAUUUAUCGCCUUUGGAUGGGCCCGCGUUGGAUUAGCUAGUUGGUAGGGUAAAAGCCUACCAAGGCGACGAUCCAUAGCUGGUCUGAGAGGAUGAUCAGCCACACUGGGACUGAGACACGGCCCAGACUCCUACGGGAGGCAGCAGUGGGGAAUAUUGGACAAUGGGCGAAAGCCUGAUCCAGCAAUGCCGCGUGAGUGAUGAAGGCCUUAGGGCUGUAAAGCUCUUUUACCCGGGAUGAUAAUGACAGUACCGGGAGAAUAAGCUCCGGCUAACUCCGUG
rnacentral:rRNA from 1 species